AGGGAAUCAAUGGGUGAUAUGGGUGGGAUUGUGAGUGGGAUUACUGGUGGCAUCCAUGGGGUCAGAAUGAUUGGUGGGGUCACGUGGAUGGGUGGGAUCGCUGGGAUGGAUGGGAUCGCUGGGAUGGUUGGGAUCAUUGGGAUGGAUGGGAUCACUGAAUGGUGAGUGGGGUCACUGGAAUGGAUGGCAUCAUUGGAUGAUGGACGGGAUCAUUGGGAUGGAUGGGAUCAUUGAAUGGUGGGUGUGAUGACUGGGAUCAUUGGGAUGGAUGGGAUCAUUGAUGGGAUGGGUGGGAUCACUGGUGGCAUCAGUGGGGUCACCGAGGUGGUGGUGCUGGGAUGGAUGGGAUCAUUGGAUGAUGGGUGGGAUCGCUGGGAUGGAUGGGAUCAUUGGAUGGUGGAUGGGAUCACUGGGAUGGAUGGCAUCAUUGGAUGAUGGAUGGGAUCACUGGGAUGGAUGGGACCAUUGAAUGAUG
ensembl:lncRNA